ensembl:lncRNA
AUGCCUGGGGACACAGGGAGCCCAGAUUCCCACAGGGUGCCUCUGACAUUUCAUGUCUGGGGAGUGUCUGAGCAGACCAAAAGCCAUGAGCAUCCACCUCAGCCCUGCGAGCUCCUCCGCCACACGCCAAUAGACGGCUGCUGGAGAGGCUGGCUGAGCCAAAAGCAAAUCCCAGCAGCUCCUGGCAGGGAACACAACAUCCCCCCAGCCUGGCCAGGGCCCCGGCCACCUCCCCUUCCUGUGGGUGGCCAGCACCCCGAGGAGGACACGUGUCCAGGAGGAGCUGGAGCUGGGGAACACCACAGAGCAGUGGCACUGCGGGACCAGCCCUGGGCAGGGCCAGCCGGCAGCUUCACCAUCAGCCCUGGGCAGGGCUGCCCCCAGUGCCCCCAGUGCCCUGCUCCAGUGCCAUCCCUGUGCUCAUCAGCCCUGGGCAGGGCUGCCCCCAGUGCCCCCAGUGCCAUCCCUGUGCUCAUCAGCCCUGGGCAGGGCUGCCCCCAGUGCCCCCAGUGCCCCCAGUGCCCUUCUCCAGUGCCAUCCCUGUGCUCAUCAGCCCUGGGGAUCAUUAACAGCUGCCCAUGGUCCUCUCCGCUCCCCUUCCUGCAGUUCCCAGACACUAGGAAGCCACAGGGUGCCCCCCAAUUACUAAUUAAUAACAAACACUAAUGACAAAUGCAGGGAGGGAGUGGAUCAGCCCAACACAAAGGUCAGCUGGGAGCACAGGGUCCCACUGGAGAAGCCAAGAUGGGAAUGAUCCCCUCUGCCCUGGCUGUGACAUUUCAGCCUCAGCCUCACUCUGCUCAAUGUUCUUUGUAGUGGCAGAAGAUUUAUUUUUCUUUUAAUUUUUUUUAGUCUUUUUUUGUUUGUUUUUUGGGGUUUGGUGGUUUUUGGGGGGGUUUGUUUGUUUGUGGGGUUGGUUUUGUUUUAUUUAUUUUUUUUUUCUGGUCUUGCAAACUCAGUAUCCCCAGGCUUCUCCCCAGAUUCUCCUCUGGGACAGAACAAGUUGCACCAUGGAGGGUAAAACUACUAAAACUACAGGUAGGUAAACAAUACUAAUAAAAAAAUCACAAUUAAAGUCUAGAAAUUCUUCUCGUUCAGUUUCACUGGAUUUACUUCUCAUCUCUGUUCACUAUCUUCCCAUUUCAUCACCAUCAUUUACUGCCUGCAUCAUUUCUGAGCUGCCUCCGUAACCCAGAAUUAGAAGUCCUUCUGCAGAGUUUUAAACAUGGAAAAGGCACACAUGGGGCUGAAAGUCGGGGGGAAACACCAAAAUCAGCGAGGUGGGAAGAAUCCCACGAUGGCCUGGGUGGGUGCUGAGCCCCAGGAGCUGCCACAGGCUUGCCCGCCCCGGGAGCUGCCACAGGCUUGCCCCAGAGGACCCAGGUGUCCCUGUCACCCACUCCCAGCUCCCACACUCCAGGUAGUCCCAGAAAGGUUUAAGGGCUGUGAGCAGCGGCCUCUGAGUCAAGGGAAUAUUCAUAUGGGUAAUUUUAUGAACUUGCUGACAAUACUGGCAGAAUUUGUGCUUUGAAUUUCAAUUUUUCUCCCCUGGCAGCCCUGGGAGAUUCAAGCAGCACAAGCCAGCAGAAGUAACUGAAGAAAGAGAACAUUAAAUAAAUUUUAACCUAAAACUACAAAUGUUCAAACCAGUAUUAAAAUGCUUCAACCUUGUGUACUUUUGUUUUUCCCUGAAACAGUCAUGAAAUUAAAAUUAUGAAUAAAUCAAUGCAGUAAAUUGGUCUGGAUUUAAAGAGUUACUCCUUGAUUACAAGCAACCUAAAAGUAAUCAAAAUAUUUUUUCCAUCUCCUGUUGCUCAGUGCUCUCCUUACUCUGUUCUUUAUGAGAAAAAUAAUCAAAUUGAGGGUGAAGAGGAGAAAAGGCAUUACUGAUUACUCUGAACCCUCGUAUCAUAAAAGCUGGAAAAUAAGAGUGACCAGGCAAAACAACAGAAUUAUGUGCAUCAAGCAGUUGUUUACAGAUGGCAUGAGUUUCCCAGAACUGAAACAGCUGGAAAUAUUUUUAAAGAAUAAAUGUAUAUGGAAUGAAACCUUGGGGGGUUGGAAGGUAUUGUUAUUUUUUACUUGGGGGGAGAAAAAAGGGGUGAAGGAGCCAUGUGAUAGCAUUUCAGAAAUCCACACAUUUUUCAAGGCUUCCAAUUUCACAGGAAACUCUCAGGAAAUCAAUUUUUUCAAAAAUCCCAUUACAGGCACUUUUCCAAGUUGAGAAAACAAACAUAUCUAACAAGCUACAAACGCACACGUAGGGAAAAAAAUGAAAAUAGGACUUAUUUAUCCAGGGAGUCUCAGCCUUGUUCAACACAUUUUGUUCUGGAGUUUGGCACCUCUGGCCUCUGCUGGAGCACCUGAUGGGGCUGUGAGGGCUCCACACACACAGGGGGUGCCAGGAACCUUCCCUGCACAGCCCCAGCCUCUCCAGCUCCAGCAGAUGGGAUGGGAUGGGAUGGGAUGGGAUGGGAUGGGAUGGGAUGGGAUGGGAUGGGAUGGGGGUGGGGAUGGGCAGAGGCAAAGCCCCAAGCAGUGCUGGCAGGGAGGUGAUGGCCAUGGAGCUCAGGAGGGUUUGCCUGAGGUGCAGCCCAGCCAGGAGAGGCCUGGAGCUCUCACAGAGUGUGUUGGGUUGAUGUGACCAGAAAUGUGGAUUCUGUCCCCAUCUGCUGCAGCCGGGUGGGGCAGUGCCCCUGAUCUCCUGGCACACAUUAUCUGCUCAUGGGCCAGCUUUAAACCAGCUGGGCAAUCAUCUUUAUCUUCCCACAGCCCAUCCUCCCUCCAGGAGAUAUCUCCUGUUCAUGGCCACUGAGUCCCAGGGCAUGACUGAUAAAAUUACAUCAUCCCAUGGGAGAUGCUCCAGCCAGGGGAGGAGCCAAGCCUUUCCUACCCAGAGAAAAACUGACCCCCCCCCCCCCCCCCCCCCCCCCC